rnacentral:lncRNA from 1 species
UACAGACUUUCCCAGACAGCCUGGACUGCAUGUGGGUCUGCUUGGCAGGAACAGAUGAGCCGUUCAGUGCCUACCAUGGAUGGAACAGUACAGCACAGAUGGGGACAGACUGCAAACUCUGCGACGCUUAAUAAAUGCCUGUACGUGCCAACUGUGGAGCCAGGCACUGGGAUCCACUGAAGGGCAGUGAGAUGGAUGGACCUUGCAGUCACAAAGCCCAGAGCGGGACAGGUACCAUGGAGGGCAGAGGCA